rnacentral:lncRNA from 1 species
AUGUGUGAGUUGUGCUUGUCUCGUGAGUCUUCUCAUUACCUUCUUGUUCCUCCGCGUUCUUAUCCGUUUCAUCCGGUUCCCUUUUUGUUUGGUUUGUCUCUCAAGACAGUUUUAUUUUGUAUUUUACCUGUUUGUGCAAUAAACCAUACCUGCAAUUGGAUCCUACCCUCUCCUUGUGUUUUUCCCAUAACCCAAACGUCACAGAAGGACUCCAUCAUGCCUAGAUCCAGCGGUGUGGGAUUUCGAAUCGGUUCCCCGGCCACCAUGGAGGAACGGAGGGGGAGAUUCCGGAACUUAACCACCCUUCAUCAAAAGGGAAGUGAGGUGGGUGGCCUGGCGCAAUUGUUUUGGACUUUGGCAGUCGGGUUAGGUUACAAUGAUGCAGCACUAAAAGAUUUGUUUAAUAAUUGCCUGGAUGAUCCUUUACCUCAAUGGGAGAUGAAGGGGUUGGAGAUCCUGGACUUUUGGGGCUUUACCAAUUACCUGCACCAUCGUGCUCAGUGGGAUGCAACAACCACACCAGAGUUUCCAGACAAGACUGCCACCUGCUCAGCGCCACAGCACAAGAUGGCCGAAUCUACACCUGUGUCUCUAAACAAGAUGGCUGACUCAACGCCUGAGUCUUCCGUCAAGGUGCCACCGACUCGCCAUCAUAGAGGGCGGAGGAGGAGGAGACCGGCAUCUACCGUUCCUCAAAGCCCGAAGGACGGUCCCGAGCAGCCCACUGUCGUCCCGGAGGACAUUCCCGAGCAGGACGCUGCCGUCCAGGAGGACGUUCCCGAGCAGGCCGCCAGCCCAUUCCCGAGGCGGUGCCCGAUGCUGUUCCCGAGGCCGAGGCGGUGCCCGAUGCAGUUCCCGAGGCCGCGGCUGUUCCCGAGGAGGUGCUCGAUGCUGUUCGAGAGGCCGAGGCGGUGCCCGAUGCGGUGCCCGAUGUAGUUCCCGAUGCUGUUCCCGAUGCGGAGCCCGAGGUGGUGCCCGAUGCUGUUCCCGAGGCCGAGGCUGUUCCCGAGGCGGUGCCCGAUGCAGUGCCCGAGGCAGUUCCCGAGGCGGAGCCCGAUGCUGUUCCCGAGGCGGUGCCCGAUGCUGUUCCAGAGACCGAGGCGGUGCCCGAUGCUGUUGCCAAGGCGGUGCCGGAGGCCGAGGCGGUGCCCGAUGCUGUUCCCGAGGCGGUGCCCGAUGCUGUUCCAGAGACCGAGGCGGUGCCCGAUGCUGUUGCCAAGGCGGUGCCGGAGGCCGAGGCGGUGCCCGAUGCUGUUCCCGAGGCGGUGCCCGAUGCGGUUCCCGAGGCGGUGCCCGAUGCUGUUCCAGAGGCCGAGGCGGUGCCCGAUGCUGUUCCAGAGGCCGAGACCGGGGCGGUGCCCGAGGCCGAGGCAGUGUCCAAUGUUGUUUCGGAGACCGAGGCGGGGCCCGAAACCGUUCCCGAUGCGGUGCCCGAGACCGCUUCGUCCUGGGGGACUCCGACGGUGACCAUGAGGAUGUGGUGGUCAUCCGCUCCGCCCUGGGGGACUCUGGCGGUGACCAAGAGGACGUGGUGGUCUUCCGCUCCGCCCUGGGGGGGCUUCUGCUUUGACCAGAUGGGUGUGAUGGCCCUCUGUUCCGCCCGGGUGGGCAUCACCUAAUGUCCUCCAUUUACCAAUGUUUUUGUUUUCAUUUUUUUUUUUUUUUCUAUUUUCCUCCGUUGGACCUGGCCCUCCGUCCCUCCCCUCUUUCCUUCCGCCGGUCCACCACCCUCCUGGACUCCUUGUUUUGUGUUACACCUUCCUGUCUCUGCCUUUCCUUCCCAUCUGGUUGUUCCGUCUCUGUUUUGUCCAUUUUUCCAGGUUCUUUAUCUCUGUCCAUUCCAUCUGGUUCUCCUGUCCCUGUUUUCUGACCCUCCGUCCCUCCCCCUAGUCCGCCACCGCUUCACCUCCCUCCUACCUCUUUUCUGUUGGGUUUUCCGGGGUUUCAGGUGGAGCAUCUGGUAGCUGCUCCAUAGGGGAGGGGGUAAUGUCACGCUGAGUUCCUGAGGCGGUGCCCGAUGCAGUUCCCGAGGCGGUGCCCGAUGCAGUUCCCGAUGCGGUGCCCGAUGCAGUUCCCGAUGCGGUGCCCGAUGCGGUGCCCGAGGCGGAGCCCGAUGCUGUUCCCGAGGCGGUGCCCGAUGCUGUUCCCGAGGCGGUGCCCGAUGCUGUUCCCGAGGCGGUGCCCGAUGCAGUUCCCGAGGCGGUGCCCGAUGCAGUUCCCGAGGCCGCGGCUGUUCCCGAGGAGGUGCCCGAUGAGGUGCCCGAUGCAGUUCCCGAGGCGGUGCCCGAUGCGGUGCCCGAUGCUGUUCCCGAGGCGGUGCCCGAUGCUGUUCCCGAGGUCGAGGCGGUACCCGAGGUGGUUCCCGAGGCGGUGCCCGAUGCCGAGGCGGUGCCCGAUGCUGUUCCAGAGACCGAGGCGGUGCCCGAUGCUGUUCCAGAGGCCGAGGCGGUGCCCGAUGCAGUUCCCGAGGCCGCGGCUGUUCCCGAGGAGGUGCUCGAUGCUGUUCGAGAGGCCGAGGCGGUGCCCGAUGCGGUGCCCGAUGUAGUUCCCGAUGCUGUUCCCGAUGCGGAGCCCGAGGUGGUGCCCGAUGCUGUUCCCGAGGCCGAGGCUGUUCCCGAGGCGGUGCCCGAUGCAGUGCCCGAGGCAGUUCCCGAGGCGGAGCCCGAUGCUGUUCCCGAGGCGGAGCCCGAUGCUGUUCCCGAUGCAUUUACAUUUACAUUUAAUCAUUUAGCAGACGCUUUUAUCCAAAGCGACUUACAAAUGAGAACAAUAGAAGCAGUCAGGUCAACAAGAGAACAACAACAGAAUACAAGUGCCAUGACAAGUCUCAGUUAGUCUAGUAUAGAACGCAUAGCCAGGUAUAUAUAAUUUUUUUAUUUUAUUAAAUGAAAGAAAAAAAAAAAAAAAAAAAGACAAGAAAAGGAAAAGUACUGGUGUUAGUAGGUUAAGUGCAGGCGAAAAAGAUGAGUUUUUAGAUGUUUCUUGAAAAUGAGUAAAGACUCAGCUGUACGAAUUGAGAUUGGGAGGUCAUUCCACCAGCUGGGCGCAGUCCAGGAAAAGGUCCGUGAGAGUGAUUUUGAAUUUCUUUGGGAUGGCACCAUAAGGCGUUGUUCACUUGCAGAACGCAAACUUCUGGAGGGCACAUAGGAUUUAACCAGUGAGUUUAGGUAAGUUGGUGCCGUGCCAGUGGUCGUCUUGUAGGCAAGCAUCAGUAUCUUGAAUUUGAUGCGAGCAGCUACUGGUAGCCAGUGUAACCUGAUGAGAAGAGGAGUAACAUGAGCUUUUUUUGGCUCAUUGAAGACAACCCUCGCUGCUGCAUUCUGGAUCAUUUGCAGAGGCUUGACAGUACAUGCAGGAAGGCCCCCCAGGAGAGCAUUACAAUAGUCCAGUCUAGAGAGAACAAGAGCUUGGACAAGAAGUUGGGUUGCUUGCUCUGACAGGAAGGGUCUAAUCUUCCUAAUGUUGUAUAAGGCAAACCUGCAGGACCGGGUCGUUGUAGCAAUGUGGUCAGUGAAGCUUAAUUGAUGAUCCAUCACAACUCCUAGGUUUCUGGCUGUCCUCGAAGGAGUUAUGGUUGACGAGCCCAGCUGUAUAGAGAAGUUGUGAUGAAUCAAUUGGUUAGCUGGAAUCACCAGUAGUUCAGUCUUUGUAAGGUUAAGCUGAAGGUGAUGGUCAUUCAUCCAGCUAGAAAUGUCACUCAGACAGGCUGAAAUGCGAGCAGCUACUGUCGGGUCAUCAGGCUGGAAUGAGAAGUAGAGUUGGGUGUCAUCAGCAUAGCAGUGAUAAGAAAAGCCAUGCUUCUGAAUGACAGAUCCUAAAGAUGUCAUGUAGAUGGAGAAGAGAAGUGGUCCAAGUACUGAGCCUUGAGGAACCCCAGUAGCAAGGUGGUGUGACUUUAAAACAUCACCCCUCCAAGACACACUGAAUGAUCUGUCAGAGAGGUAGGACUUAACCCACAGGAGAGCAGUUCCAGAGAUUCCCAUCUUUCUGAGGGUGGACAGGAGAAUCUUGUGAUUAACAGUGUCAAAAGCAGCAGACAGGUCCAGUAAGAUGAGUACCGAGGAUUUUGAAGCUGCUCUUGCUAGUCGCAGGGCUUCAGUAACCGAGAGCAGAGCAGUCUCAGUUGAGUGGCCACUUUUGAAGCCAGAUUGGUUGCUGUCCAGGAGGUUGUUCUGUCCAAGGAACAUAGAAAGCUGGUUGAACACAGCCCGCUCAAGUGUCUUUGCAAUGAAUGGAAGCAGGGAUACCGGUCUGUAGUUUUCAAGAAGCGCUGGAUUUAGAGAUGGUUUCUUGAGCAGUGGGCUUACCCGAGCCUGCUUGAAUGCUAAGGGAAAUGUUCCAGAUUGAAGAGAAGAGUUGAUAAUGUGAGUAAGUGAAGGUAUGACUGAAGAAGAGAUCGCUUGAAGGAGGUGAGUGGGGAUAGGAUCAAGUGGACAAGUAGUAGGAUGAUUGGACAUGAGAAUUUUGGAGACGUCCAUCUCUGAGAGUGGGGAGAAGGAGGAUAAAGAGUGUGCAUCGGUCAUUGUGAAGUUUUCCUCAGUCUGCGGUGUGGAGACUGAGGAAAAUGCGAUGCGGUGCCCGAUG